GAUGAACGCUGGCGGCGUGCUUAACACAUGCAAGUCGAACGAAGCACUUUAUUUGAUUUCCUUCGGGACUGAUUAUUUUGUGACUGAGUGGCGGACGGGUGAGUAACGCGUGGGUAACCUGCCUUGUACAGGGGGAUAGCAGUUGGAAACGGCUGCUAAUACCGCAUAAGCGCACAGCAUCGCAUGAUGCAGUGUGAAAAACUCCGGUGGUAUAAGAUGGACCCGCGUUGGAUUAGCUAGUUGGUGAGGUAACGGCCCACCAAGGCGACGAUCCAUAGCCGACCUGAGAGGGUGACCGGCCACAUUGGGACUGAGACACGGCCCAAACUCCUACGGGAGGCAGCAGUGGGGAAUAUUGCACAAUGGGCGAAAGCCUGAUGCAGCGACGCCGCGUGAGCGAAGAAGUAUUUCGGUAUGUAAAGCUCUAUCAGCAGGGAAGAUAAUGACGGUACCUGACUAAGAAGCACCGGCUAAAUACGUG
rnacentral:rRNA from 1 species